rnacentral:rRNA from 1 species
GACGAACGCUGGCGGCGUGCUUAACACAUGCAAGUCGUACGGUAAGGCCCUUUCGGGGUACUAUAAGGGGGGACGGGUGGAGAACAAGGGGGGAAACCGGCCAAAACUUUUGGAUAAAGGUAGGGAACUUGGGGUAAAUACGGAUAAUGUCUCCUGCUGCAUGGGGGGGGGUGGAAAGGCUCGGCGGUUGUGGGUGGAAUCGCGGCCCAUCAGCUUGUUGGUGGGGGUGGGGCCUACCAAGGCGGCGAAAGGUAGGCGGCCUGAGAGGGUGACCGGCCACAUUGGGACUGAGAUACGGCCCAGACUCCUACGGGAGGCAGCAGUGGGGAAUAUUGCACAAUGGGCGCAAGCCUGAUGCAGCAACGCCGCGUGCGGGAUGACGGCCUUCGGGUUGUAAACCGCUUUCAGCAGGGACGAAGCUUUUUGUGACGGUACCUGCAGAAGAAGCACCGGCUAACUACGUG